CCAAGGCUUGACAUACACCGGAAACGGCCAGAGAUGGUCGCCCCCUUGUGGUCGGUGUACAGGUGGUGCAUGGUUGUCGUCAGCUCGUGUCGUGAGAUGUUGGUUAAGUCCCGCAACGAGCGCAACCCUCGUUCUAUGUUGCCAGCGCGUUAUGGCGGGGACUCAUAGGAGACUGCCGGGGUCAACUCGGAGGAAGGUGGGGAUGACGUCAAAUCAUCAUGCCCCUUAUGUCUUGGGCUUCACGCAUGCUACAAUGGCCGGUACAAAGGGCUGCGAUACCGUAAGGUGGAGCGAAUCCCAAAAAGCCGGUCUCAGUUCGGAUUGAGGUCUGCAACUCGACCUCAUGAAGUCGGAGUCGCUAGUAAUCGCAGAUCAGCAACGCUGCGAUGAAUACGUUCCCGGGCCUUGUACACACCGCCCGUCAAGUCAUGAAAGUCGGUAACACCCGAAGCCGGUGGCCUAACCCUUGUGGAAGGAGCCGUCGAAGGUGGGAUCGGUGAUUAGGACUAAGUCGUAACAAGGUAGGCGUACGUGU
rnacentral:rRNA from 1 species